UACGUAGGGGGCAAGCGUUGUCCGGAAUCAUUGGGCGUAAAGAGCGUGUAGGCGGCUCGGUAAGUCCGCUGUAAAAGUCAAAGGCUCAACCUUUGAAUGUCAGUGGAUACUGCCGGGCUAGAGUCCGGAAGAGGCGAGUGGAACUCCUGGUGUAGCGGUGGAAUGCGCAGAUAUCAGGAAGAACACCAACGGCGAAGGCAGCUCGCUGGGACGGUACUGACGCUGAGACGCGAAAGCGUGGGGAGUGAACAGG
rnacentral:rRNA from 1 species